rnacentral:rRNA from 1 species
UACAGGGGGGGCAAGCGUUGUUCGGAACUACUGGGCGUAAAGGGUCUGUAGGUGGCUUGCUAAGUCAGACGUGAAAUCCCUCGGCUUAACCGGGGAACUGCAUCUGAUACUGGAUGGCUUGAGUUCGGGAGAGGGAUGCGGAAUUCCAGGUGUAGCGGUGAAAUGCGUAGAUAUCAGGAGGAACACCGGUGGUGUAGACGGCUCACUGGACCGUAACUGACGCUGAGACACGAAAGCGUGGGUAGCAAACAGG